GUCCAACUAAAAAUAAAGUGGGAUCGGAGCUGGCCGUCCCGCGGAGCAGCCCGAGAGGCUGCAAUCAGAGCAUUGUGAUUAGUGGUCAGAGCUGCUGUCAAAGGAGCGUGACCAGGUCAUCUUCCCCAGGACUACGGCAGCUCCAGUGAAGACAAAACGUAGGGCUUCUGUGACCUUUGCUAUUUCUAUUGUUAGGCUUUUAGUUUUAAUCCAAAAAUAUGCAGGAUUUACAGUUAUUGUUGUCAGAAACUUCCAGAAGAAUCAACAAAGUGAAGUGGAAAGAAGCACAUCAGGGAGGUCCGGCCUCGGGGUUUGGCCCCUGGUCUUCCAUCUGCUUGGAAUCUGCUUUGGACACGUAUCCGCCCGGCUUGUUGUGAGAAAAGACUGGAAUAAAGGCAAACUCUUCAAGAUGCCUGAAACCAAGAUGCACCAAAGUCAGGAGCCAAGACUUCCCGGGGUUUUAUACACAGCUCCAGCUCUAGGCAAGUUUCAGGCCUCAAUGAUGCAGGUGACGUACAAGAAGAAGCAGGCUGUCUCCACUAAGCAUCUGGGGCCCAGCUGCUGCCCUUUGCCACCACGGGGAGGCAGCAGACCAACACCCACAUGUGGAACACACUUGGCACCCUACAGUGACCUCGUGGGUGUAAUGGUCAGUGCUUCACUGCCUCUUCCAAAUCGCACGCAAAUUUCUCCUGUGGCUAACUCUAACCCAGAACCAGACGGUGAAGGGAAUUCUGGGAAAUCAGCUCCACCUUAGCUAAACAAAAAGCCGCUGUACCAGGUUUCAUCCUGUCAAUGUAUUUGUAGAUGCCUUUGAUUUUUCUUUAUAACACUAAAUACAGAAUAAUUCGAAUAUACAAGAGAAUAUAAAUACAGAGUCUUUCCAUGGUUUCCUUUAUGAAAUUACUAACUUUCUGUCAUCUUGAGUACCCAGUCAUCUUGGAUCAUUUCUUGCCAUGUGCUUAUUGGGAUGAAUUAAAACUACUGGCCUAUUUGUAUUUCACUUAUAUAUAUGAAAUGUUGAGUCUAUUCCUUAUACUUGCAGCAAAAACAGAUCCUCUGUGGUAUGUAUUUCAUGUAAAUGAGGAUUAGACAAACUUCAGGAUCCAUUUGGCAUUAGUAUCUGUGUAACAAUAGGCUUAUGUAUUUAUGGAGCUAGGUAGGUAUGUCUACAUGCUUGUUCUAACUCUCUCUCUAUAUAUAUGACCAGAUAGUGCUAUAGAGACUUAAGAACAGUCUUGAUGACUAUACAGACAGAUAUCUAAAAACCGAGAGCUGAGAAAUUGGUGUUGUAACUUCUGAGUAAUUAUUUCAACUACUGGACACCUGUCACUAAUCCAAAAGCCAAAGGAAUUGGCAGUUUUGUAUAAGACGUUCCUUCACUUUGGCUUCUUAAGAUGACAGAGGUAGUUGUAGAUAGGAAAUGUAGAAACAGCAAAAAAAAAAAAAAAAAAAAAAGAACUCUCACCACGAAUGAGUGAUAAGAAUUUGUUGAGCUCUCAGACUCUCCGCUUCUGCUUCCCUCAGCACCUCUUAGAUCCUUUAGACUUGUAGCUUGUUUUCCUUUUCUGAGCCAGCGGAGAUUGUAAAUCAACCUUCCAGUCUUCAUCGCCAACCCAGGGGAAAUAGGUGAGACAAGUGGUUUCCAAAUAUUUGAUAAAACAGAGAGGGUGUUUGGGGUAGAAAGAAUUCUGGUUUUCGGUUCAAUCCAUUUACCUACUUAUGUCCUCUUUAGCAUUAUUUAACUUGUUAGAGUUUAUGUUUCCUCUUCUGCAAAAUGGCUGUGAUCUUGUCUGCUUCCUAAGAAGCUCCAGGGUUGACGGAGGGGACUCGGAUGUCCACCUCCCACCUUCCUUCGCCAAUACUUCUUCACUGCCGAGACCCCAUUCGUCUCACGUGACUGAUACCUACUAAGCGGGCUACAACGAGUAGGCUCAUAUGAUUUUUAAAUGCUGGAGAAUUAGGUUUCAGUAGGCAAGUGGAACUUUUAAAAGAAUUUAUUCCUUAGUCUGACAACCACUGUUUAUUUUGCUUAACUGAAGCAACUGAUUUUUCCUUUAUCAGGAUAAAAUCAUGAAAGAUUUUGAAAAAGGCAAGAAAGAUUACUGGUGUCCUGUCUAGCAUACCCUUCUGGGUUAUCUUUGUCUCUUAUUGUCUUUGAGCUAUUUUACAACUCUGUCAGCUGUAGAUAACGG
ensembl:lncRNA